UACGUAGGGUGCGAGCGUUAAUCGGAAUUACUGGGCGUAAAGCGUGCGCAGGCGGUUCGUUGUGUCGGCGGUGAAAGCCCCGGGCUUAACCUGGGAAUGGCCGUUGAAACUGGCGAACUGGAGUGUGGCAGAGGGGGGUGGAAUUCCGCGUGUAGCAGUGAAAUGCGUAGAGAUCGGGAGGAACACCAGUGGCGAAGGCGGCCCUCUGGGCCGGGCCUGACGCUGAGACGCGAGGGCGUGGGGAGCGAACGGG
rnacentral:rRNA from 1 species